rnacentral:rRNA from 1 species
UACGAAGGGGGCAAGCGUUACUCGGAAUUACUAGGCGUAAAGGGCAGGUAGGUGGUUUGAUAAGUCUGUUGUGAAAGCUCCUGGCUUAACUGGGAGAGGUCAACAGAAACUAUCAGGCUUGAGUAUAGGAGAGGGUACUGGAAUUCCCGGUGUAGCGGUGAAAUGCGCAGAGAUCGGGAGGAACACCAAUGGCGAAAGCAGGUACCUGGACUAUUACUGACACUCAGCUGCGAAAGCUAGGGGAGCAAACAGG